UACGAAGGGUGCAAGCGUUACUCGGAAUUACUGGGCGUAAAGCGUGCGUAGGUGGUGAGUUAAGUCUGUCGUGAAAGCCCCGGGCUCAACCUGGGAAUGGCGAUGGAUACUGGCUCGCUAGAGUGCGGUAGAGGAGAGUGGAAUUCCCGGUGUAGCAGUGAAAUGCGUAGAUAUCAGUCGGAACACCGGUGGCGAAGGCGGCUUCUUGGGCCGUUCCUGACGCUGAGGCGCGAAAGCUGGGGGAGCGAACGGG
rnacentral:rRNA from 1 species